GAGAAUUGGUUAGUUGUCGCUGCUAACGAUGAUUAGGGCAUUUAAUUUGUCCGGUUCUCU
rnacentral:tRNA from 1 species